UUUGCAUUAAAAGCAGCAAUUGCAUAUGGUAGUUAACAGAAAAAUAUAAACUCUGUUGCUAAAGCUGAUGGUAUAGUAGGUUACCCAGGCAGCUCUGAAGCCUCAUUCAUAUUCAAACCCUAUUGCUAUAAAUGGUGUUCUUGAUGGUGAUACUUGCUGACUUGCUCUGUUAUUAAGGUUGGAGAUGGAAAUGCAGCUUAAACUCUUCAGCACAUUUGAUGCAGCAUUUGUACAUUCAGAAAUGAGCCACAACGCAAUGAUCCUGGGAUCCUGUUGCAACCACCUUAAAACAUCUCUUCAUUCACCAGGCAAGAAGGGUUGAUUACACGUUCAACAGAGCUUGAUUAUCUGUCAGGUCCAGAGAUAAUAACAGAUGCUUUGUGCAUCGAUCUUCUAUCACCUGCUUAAUUUGUUACUGUUCUUAAAUUGUCUAAAUCGACAUAUCAAUUCGGCAUAAGAAAUGACUUGAGUUUUUCUGCUUAAUUUGACAUACUUUAAUAGAACAUUCUGCUGCUCAGGCACCUGGAGAACACCAAAGUAGACGUCGACCUGAUUCCAUCAAAGCAAAAUACUCUUGCUUCCUCAUCUAUCAGCCAUUGACAGUAAAGAGCAUGCAGCUCUGCAUCCAGGGCUUUAUAACGCAUGAAGAGUAUUUUACAAAUCCGAGAAAUUUGAGCCCAUUGGAUAAGGCUAACUGCCAGCAAGGAAAACAUGAAACAGCAAGGCAGAAAGGAAGAAAUCUUCUUACCAACAGUAUUCUUUGCCCUUCAUGGAAUUGGCAGUAAGCGAUAACUUAUAUCUUUCUAAUAAUGACUUGAAUAAAUA